UUACACUUGAUGUAUUGAUCAGCCGACGGUUUCACUCCCGGCUAUAUCAGUGCCAAAGUGGUCAUAAAAUCAUCGGUUGAAUCGAUGAUUUCGAGAUAGACGAUAAUUUUAAAAAUAAAUUAAUAAAAAAAAUAAUUUUAAAAAUAAUAAAUAAAAAAUAUUUAAAAAAAUCUCUCGAUGGCCACAUAUUUUUGGAUUACACAUGGUCCCAUGAAACACAUGCUCGAAGCUUUAUAAUAUUUCCGUGCCGAAGGUUGAAUUGAGAGAUCAUCUAAUCAUGAAGGGAGGG
rnacentral:lncRNA from 1 species